rnacentral:antisense_RNA from 1 species
UUGGCCAUGCGGUUUGUGGUAACUGGUUUCAGCAGCCCUAGGAAUCUAAUACACUGCCCAUGUUAUUUUGUGGAUCAAGUGAAACUUAGAAACAACAACAACAACAAAAAAGCAGUCUGUGAUCAAGAAGAAUUACUCUGUUGCAGCAAUAUAAACUAAGAAAAAAAUAUGCAAAAUUAUCUGCUGCCUUGGGAGAUGACCUCAUGAUGUGUAUUAUUUACUUUAAUAUUUUUAUUUAUUUAUUUAUUUAUUUUUGAGACGGAGUCUCGCUCUGUCGCCCAGGCUGGAGUGCAGUGGCGUGAUCUCGGCUCACUGCAACCUUUGCCUCCCGGGCUCAAGUGAUUCUCCUGCUUCAGCCUCCUGAGUAGCUGGAAUUAUAGGCGCGUGCCGCCAUGCCUGGCUAGUUUUUGUAUUUUUAGUAGAGAUGGGGUUUCACCAUAUUAGUCAGGCUGCUCUCGAACUCCUGACCUCGUGAUCUGCCCGCCUCGGCCUCCCAAAAUGCUGAGAUUACUGGUGUGACCGACCGUGCCUGGCCGACGUGUAUGAUUUAAUAGCCAGCAGCAAC